AUCCCGUCGCGCUCAGCUGACGACUUGAAGCUUCGCUUCCUACUUUUCCUUGCCAGGACGUCGAAAAUAGCCGAACUGCCGCGAGGGUUUCGAGGGUAACUUCCCGAGAAUGGUUCUUCGCCGUCUGUUUUUUUUUUUGUUUUUUUUACAGUCUGCAAAACGUUUUCUAAAUAUAAGAGGGGGAAAAAGUUAAGAGUCGGACUAUUGGUCCGUCGUGAUUUUCCGGGAGGAUUCUCUGAAAGGAUUGUCAUUGCCUAGAUGUCAUCCAGGUCGUGGUUUUCCCAAAGGAUUCACCUAAAAUCACCAUUUUUCAUCAGUCUGGCGGAUCUGACAGCUUUUGAUACAUCUGUGGUGCAAGAAACACAGUUUUUCAGAUGAAUCUGUCCAUCAUUAGAAAGUAAUUAUGAACAAAUUCAGCUGUUGAAAAAGAUGAGUAUAUAUGUAA